AAUAAGUGUAGCCAUGAGUUUUCGCGCCCAACUUUGAUCAUCUGUCUUAUUUGAAAUUUUUUUAUAAUUAGCAUUUUUGUUGUUAUGAAAUGAUAAAAUAUGAAUCGUACUUUACUCAUGACUUAUGUUUUAAAAUUUUUUCAAAUUUUUUUCAAAUAAGAUGAACGGUCAAAAUUGGGCGCGGAAAACUAUAGCUGCACUUAUU
rfam:Oryza glumipatula chromosome 1, whole genome shotgun sequence.